rnacentral:rRNA from 1 species
UAUCUCUGUAGAGUCUGCAUAUCAAUAAGCGGAGGAAAAGGAAACUAACUAAGGAUUCCCUUAGUAACGGCGAGUGAAGCGGGAAGAGCUCAAAUUUGAAAUCUUCAAGGUUUUACCUUGACGAAUUGUAGUUUAAAGAAGUGUUUUCUGUUGGAAGUUUUGGUAAAAGUUCUUUGGAAAUAGGACAUCAUAGAGGGUGAGAAUCCCGUAUUUGACCAUUAUUUCCAACUUUGUGAUACACUUUCAAAGAGUCGGAUUGUUUGGGAAUGCAGUCCAAAAUGGGUGGUAAAUUUCAUCUAAAGCUAAAUAUUGGCGAGAGACCGAUAGGCGAACGAGUACCGUGAGGGAAAGAUGAAAAGAACUUUGAAAAGAGAGUUAAACAGUACGUGAAAUUGUCAAAAGGGAAGCGUUUGACACCAGUGUUGUUUUCUCGAAAAUCAAUUAAAAAUGGCUUGAUUUUGUGUUGUAUUGACCUUAAAAGCUUUCUUCACUUUUUUCAUGUCUUUUUUAAUGCACUUUUCGUUUAACAAGUCAGCAUCAGUUUCUUUUGUUGUAAAAAGGUCAUCGGAAGGUGGCUUUCUUUUCGGAGAAAGUGUUUAUAGCCUUUGACUCCUGCAAUCGGAGAGACUGAGGUCUGCAGCGUAGAUCCUUCUUGGAUUAGAUUCAUUUGUGCUAAGUUAUAGCUUUUCAUAGACAACUUGUUGACUAUGUUUAGUCUUGUAGCUUACUCGCUUAUGUAAUUUUACCUACGCUUAGGAUGUUGAUCUCUCACAGUCGAGC